AAGAACAUAUCUGAGAGUAACUGUUCAGGUAUUGACGGUAUUUAACCAGAAAGCCACGGCUAACUACGUGCCAGCAGCCGCGGUAAUACGUAGGUGGCAAGCGUUGUCCGGAUUUAUUGGGCGUAAAGCGAGCGCAGGCGGUUUUUUAAGUCUGAUGUGAAAGCCUUCGGCUCAACCGAAGAAGUGCAUCGGAAACUGGGAAACUUGAGUGCAGAAGAGGACAGUGGAACUCCAUGUGUAGCGGUGAAAUGCGUAGAUAUAUGGAAGAACACCAGUGGCGAAGGCGGCUGUCUGGUCUGUAACUGACGCUGAGGCUCGAAAGUAUGGGUAGCAAACAGGAUUAGAUACCCUGGUAGUCCAUACCGUAAACGAUGAAUGCUAAGUGUUGGAGGGUUUCCGCCCUUCAGUGCUGCAGCUAACGCAUUAAGCAUUCCGCCUGGGGAGUACGGCCGCAAGGCUGAAACUCAAAGGAAUUGACGGGGGCCCGCACAAGCGGUGGAGCAUGUGGUUUAAUUCGAAGCUACGCGAAGAACCUUACCAGGUCUUGACAUACUAUGCAAAUCUAAGAGAUUAGACGUUCCCUUCGGGGACAUGGAUACAGGUGGUGCAUGGUUGUCGUCAGCUCGUGUCGUGAGAUGUUGGGUUAAGUCCCGCAACGAGCGCAACCCUUAUUAUCAGUUGCCAGCAUUAAGUUGGGCACUCUGGUGAGACUGCCGGUGACAAACCGGAGGAAGGUGGGGAUGACGUCAAAUCAUCAUGCCCCUUAUGACCUGGGCUACACACGUGCUACAAUGGAUGGUACAACGAGUUGCGAACUCGCGAGAGUAAGCUAAUCUCUUAAAGCCAUUCUCAGUUCGGAUUGUAGGCUGCAACUCGCCUA
rnacentral:rRNA from 1 species